ensembl:snRNA U6 U6 spliceosomal RNA
GUGUCACUUCGGCAGCACAGAUACUAACGUUGGGACGAUACAGAGAAGAUUAGCGUGGCACCUGCGCAAGGAUGACACGCAAAUUCGUGCGGCGUUCCAUAUUAAA